UACGUAGGCAACAAGCGUUGUUCGGAAUUACUGGGCGUAAAGAGUGUGUAGGCGGUGCUCUAAGUCUGUUGUGAAAUCUCCCGGCUUAACUGGGAGGGUGCGGCGGAAACUGGAGUGCUCGAGGGUGGGGAGAGGUAAGCGGAAUUCCUGGUGUAGCGGUGAAAUGCGUAGAUAUCAGGAGGAACACCUGUGGUGUAGACAGCUUACUGGACCACUUCUGACGCUGAGACACGAAAGCGUGGGUAGCAAACAGG
rnacentral:rRNA from 1 species